GGAGGUCUUUUAUUUCAUUUCCGGCACUAUUUCAUGUCAGUCCCCUGGGUGGGGGUGGAUUCAGGGGUGGAGUCUGUCCAGCUGAUCUGCAAAACCACAGUUUGCCUGCCUAAAGAUGCUAAAGUGGAGUGGAAGGA